GUCUUGCGUGAGAGAAAACUGAUUCGGUAGCGUUCCUGAAAACAAUUAAAAGGGGAGGUUCUACAUGAAAGUGUACCCCCGGGUUCCCCUGGUUGUUUUCUCACAGCCGAGGAACUGAAUCGGGCAGCUCUCCUUUGAGGAGUGGUGAGCAGUUGUGUGACACAUAUCAAGGAUCCUUGUCGUGACACAGCGAUGCCAAGGUUCGGUCCUCCAGUCUAUCACGCACUAAUCUGCUCGGGUCCCCCCUGAGUCCCAGGCAAGCAAGACACAGCCUCUCUUUGCUUCAGUUGGGACCAACGAUAACACUGUCCUCCGAGGGUCCUAGAGAGUCCCCUCACGAGACCUGGAAGAGUCUUAGGAUGUGUACGGCUGGUAAUCAGCAAUGUUCCCUUUGUUGGGCUCUCCUCUCCUUCAGCCUCAAGUGCAGAGGCUUUGAGAAACCCUAGGCCGACAAUCAUGAACUUGGGUCCUAAGGCUUGAGUAUAAAAACUCUCAUUCUGAGCAUCGUGGAGGAAAGGCCUGCUGUCUCCUCUGUCCUGUUAGAUCUACUCCUAUCUUUCACAGACAGGUUCAGCAUCCCCUCUUGAAGGCAGCUGCAUCCGGAGGAAGCCAGAAGGAGGCACAUGCCGCAUUCUAUCAGCAAGAGGACCAGAACCCUUGGACAGAGCACCAGGAAACAGUGGGAAAAGUGGAGCUAACCAGGAGAGAGAGAACCCCAGGAGCUCCCAUGGGAUGUUCACCCCUUCACAGCCUAGCAGAGCUCCUCACGCUGGUCUAGACCCCCCCCCUCUCCUCCAGGAGACACAGAAGAGCCAGAUGGAAAAGCCACUGACUAAAUUAAAACACACUAAUUGGGCAUUGGAUUUCUGCUGAAAAUGACCCCUCCCAGCGUCACUGGUGAGGUACUGUGUGGGUGUCGGAUGUACGACUAAGAGGAAAUUCUUCCACUCUGUACAAAUAAAUCAUUUGGAAUUCA